rnacentral:rRNA from 1 species
UACGUAGGGUGCGAGCGUUAAUCGGAAUUACUGGGCGUAAAGCGUGCGCAGGCGGUUUUGUAAGCCAGAUGUGAAAUCCCCGGGCUUAACCUGGGAAUGGCAUUUGGGACUGCAAGGCUCGAGUGCGGCAGAGGAGACUGGAAUUCCUGGUGUAGCAGUGAAAUGCGUAGAUAUCAGGAGGAACACCGAUGGCGAAGGCAGGUCUCUGGGCUGACACUGACGCUCAUGCACGAAAGCGUGGGGAGCGAACCGG